GAAUAUGGGGGGACCAUCCUCCAAGGCUAAAUACUCCUGACUGACCGAUAGUGAACCAGUACCGUGAGGGAAAGGCGAAAAGAACCCCGGCGAGGGGAGUGAAACAGAACCUGAAACCGUGUACGUACAAGCAGUGGGAGCCCCACCACUAAGCCAGUGGUGAACUCCACAUACGCAUCCUUUGCUGAGGAUACGGUUAACGGAGCGAAAGCGACGUUCAGCCGCAAAAGAAGCAGAGGGGGCUUAGUGGUGGGGUGACUGCGUACCUUUUGUAUAAUGGGUCAGCGACUUAUAUUCUGUAGCAAGGUUAACCGCAUAGGGGAGCCGGAGGGAAACCGAGUCUUAAUUGGGCGUUAAGUUGCAGGGUAUAGACCCGAAACCCGGUGAUCUAGCCAUGGGCAGGUUGAAGGUUGGGUAACACUAACUGGAGGACCGAACCGACUAAUGUUGAAAAAUUAGCGGAUGACCUGUGGCUGGGGGUGAAAGGCCAAUCAAACCGGGAGAUAGCUGGUUCUCCCCGAAAGCUAUUUAGGUAGCGCCUCGUGAAUUCAUCUCCGGGGGUAGAGCACUGUUUCGGCCAGGGGGCCAUCCCGGCUUACCAAUCCGAUGCAAACUGCGAAUACCGGAGAAUGUUAUCACGGGAGACACACGGCGGGUGCUAACGUCCGUCGUGAAGAGGGAAACAACCCAGACCGCCAGCUAAGGUCCCAAAGUCAUGGUUAAGUGGGAAACGAUGUGGGAAGGCCCAGACAGCCAGGAUGUUGGCUUAGAAGCAGCCAUCAUUUAAAGAAAGCGUAAUAGCUCACUGGUCGAGUCGGCCUGCGCGGAAGAUGUAACGGGGCUAAACCAU
rnacentral:rRNA from 1 species